rnacentral:rRNA from 1 species
UUUCUUCGGUGCCGCAGCUAACGCAUUAAGUGAACCGCCUGGGGACUACGACCGCAAGGUUGAAACUCAAAGGAAUUGGCGGGGGCCCGCACAAGUGGUGGAGCAUGUGGCUUAAUUCGAUGCAACGCGAAGAACCUUACCAGGGUUUGACAUGUAACUGCAAGCUCCCCAAAAGGAGUCGCUUUCGAAGGUGUUACACAGGUGGUGCAUGGCUGUCGUCAGCUCGUGUUGUGAAAUGUUGGGUUAAGUCCCGCAACGAGCGCAACCCUCAUGUUCUGUUGCCAGCGAGUAAUGUCGGGAACUCGGAACAAACUGCCUCUGUAAAGAGGAGGAAGGUGGGGAUGACGUCAAGUCUUCAUGCCCCUUACACCCUGGGCUGCACACAUGCUACAAUGGCCGGUACAAAGAGCAGCGAUACCGCGAGGUGGAGCAAAUCUCAAAAAGCCGGUCUCAGUUCGGAUUGGAGUCUGCAACUCGACUCCAUGAAGUCGGAAUCGCUAGUAAACGCCGGUCAGCAACACGGCGUUGAAUACGUUCCCGGGCCUUGCACACACCGCCCGUCAAGCCACGAAAGUUGGUCUCUCCCGAAGUCGCCGCGCUAACCGCAAGGAGGCAGGCGCCGAAGGAGCGGUCGAUGAUUGGGACU